rnacentral:rRNA from 1 species
UGGGGAAUAUUGCACAAUGGGCGCAAGCCUGAUGCAGCCAUGCCGCGUGUAUGAAGAAGGCCUUCGGGUUGUAAAGUACUUUCAGUCGGGAGGAAGGUGGUAAGGUUAAUAACCUUGGCAAUUGACGUUACCGACAGAAGAAGCACCGGCUAACUCCGUGCCAGCAGCCGCGGUAAUACGGAGGGUGCAAGCGUUAAUCGGAAUUACUGGGCGUAAAGCGCACGCAGGCGGUCUGUCAAGUCGGAUGUGAAAUCCCCGGGCUCAACCUGGGAACUGCAUUCGAAACUGGCAGGCUAGAGUCUUGUAGAGGGGGGUAGAAUUCCAGGUGUAGCGGUGAAAUGCGUAGAGAUCUGGAGGAAUACCGGUGGCGAAGGCGGCCCCCUGGACGAAGACUGACGCUCAGGUGCGAAAGCGUGGGGAGCAAACAGG